UAAGCGGUCACUCUAGCGGCCACUUUGAACAACAACAGCACGCGUCGCGUCUCUCCCUUUUUUUUUUUAACACUCCUGGCAUUUUAUAUUCUGUAGUUUCGUGUCGCGCGUGAUUAACAACAAAGGGAACACAGUGUGCGCGGUGUGUCAACAAGAAAAACGUAGUUAGAAUAACACCCUGACAACAACAAAUUCCGAAGGACAAGCAGACACCAGCGAGAAAGCAAGAGGCAGGACCUUCGCAGCGUGUUAAAAGGAUCGAGAGACUUGAUCAACGGGAUACAGGGUGCCAUGUGGAGUCCGACGCACUGCAGUGUAACGGUGCAGCGGGCGCGGGGACUGCUCACCAAGGGCAAGAAUGGCACCAACAACUGCUUCGUCACCAUUGCCCUGGGCAAGGAGAAGUACCAGACGUCCGUCAAGGACAAGGCCGAGACGAGUGUCAACUGGAACGAGGAGUGCGAACUGAAAAUUCCUGACCAGGGCAACCGCGCCGAGCUCACUCUGACCUGCCUGCACCGGAAUAAUCUGGGCAUCGAUGAGUUCCUGGGCCAGGCCUCGCUGCCCCUCAACGAGAUGGAUGUGUACGACCGGCCACGCGCCAAGUGGUUCAAGCUGGAGAGCAAGCCCGGCAAGGAGAAGAAGAACAAGGAGCGUGGCGAGCUGGAGGUGCGCAUCGCCUUCGUGGUGAAGUCUGGCUCGCUGACCGACCUCAGCAAGAAGGACAAGCACAAGUCUUCCAUCGGCCAGCUGGCCAGUUCCGUGGGCGGCAGCCUGCUGUCCAUCGGCAAUGGCGAGAAGCGGCGGAGCAUCAAGAAGCUGGCAGGUUCGAUAACCUCCAAGCUGCACAUCCGCAGCAAGAAGAAGCAGGAGGCGGGGGCCGACGACAGCAGCUCCUUCGGCGGCUCCUUCGCCAGCCUGGGCACGCCCAACAGCUCGAAUGGCCGGGGCCAGAACGGCGGCAGUGGGCGACGACGAGGCGGCCAGAGGGCGGGCGAAGCCGAUCCCGGCGUAAUCAGCGAGGACGAAGACGAGGACGAAUUUGUGUUCGACAACCUCUCGCACAAGAGCUCGGGCAGCUCGCUCAACAUCCAACGCACCGGCCUCCAGCCGCCGCCAUCCGGUACGCCCAACUUUGCGCCGCGCCACCCAUCGCCCCUGCUGAGCAACGGAGUGGGUGGUCUCGCCGGAAACGGAGUCGGAAUCGGAAGCGGCAGCGGGAAAGGUAAGCCAGCGGUUUUGCCAGCGACGCUCGAUGAGGAUGCGCCCAUCGACGCGGAGAUGGAACAGCUUGAGCUCGAUUUCAGUGUCCGUGCCCACGCCCGCGCCAAUGCCAGCGCAAAUGCUAGCGCAGGCGGAAGCGGAAGCGCCAGCACCAGCACUGUGCCGCCUCCCUCGAAGCCGCCGCGUAUCCCGCUGGCGGAUGAGCAGCAGGUUUCUGGGAGCUUGGAGCGAGAGAAGCCAAAGGAGAAGCCAACCGAGUCGGUAAGCGACAAGGACGAGUGGGCGUCAAAGUUGUAUGGUGGUGGCAAGUACCUGGAGAUCGGUAGCACUGACUCCUUGAAGCGGCGCAGCUGGGAAGAUCGUGUCCCACUUCCCCCCAGUGUCGAGGAGCCGCCGCCAUUGCCCUCGUCCAGCUCCUCGUCCAGUUCCAGCUCGGAAAGCGAUGACGAGGACGGGCACCCACCGCACACAGCGCCGCCACCUGUACCCGUGCUUGCUUCUGUACCCGUGCCUGCUUCUGCACCCGUACCUGCUUCUAUAACCGUUCCAUCCGUUGCUACUGACUCAGUAGUGGCCACCUCAUCCUCGCUCUUCUCCCCCGAUGUGGAGCACCGCAACUUUGAUACCUUCAACGCCAGCUUCGCCAAGUACGAGCAGCGCAACAGCACCGCCAUCUUUGCAGAUGAGCCUGAGUUGGAGGAUUUGACCGUGGAAUUGGAGAAGCCGGCGCCGACGCCCACGCCCACAGCACGCCCCAAGCCACAGCCUCGCUCUGUGGCGGAUCCGAGGGCAGAGGAGGAGAGGGCCAACGAAGAGGCUGCGCGCCUGCAGCGCGCCGCAGAGGAUGCCCGUUUGGAGGCGGAACUGCGUCUGAAUGAGGAGCGUCUGCGCGAGGAAGAGGCGGCCAUGCGGCGAGAACUGGCUGAGGAGAAGGAGCGCCAAAACCAGCUGCAGCUGGACGAGCAGCAGCGACGCGAGGCAAAGCGCUGGGAAGAGGACCAAAGGCUUCUGAGCUUCGCCAAGCGCUCCACUUCCCUAGAGGAGCCGGCCACAGAGCAGCCGCAGCUGAAGCGUAUGGGCGAGCAGGAGUUUGCGCCGAAGCAGGAGCCUGAGGUGGAAACGGCUGAGCCGGAGCACAACUUCCUUACGCCCGAGCAGUCGCCCAAGGAGUUCCAGACGAACGGCAGUGGGAGCGGGAGCGGGGAGCGCUGGGAGAAGCGACUGGGCAAGUUCAAAUACGGCAACAAGCGAGACAAAUACAACAACGACAACGAGAGCAGCUCUCCCAGUCCCAAGUCCACGGAGCGCAUCAUUAUUGGUCACGAAAAGUCGGGAUCCCAUGCGGAGCGCCGCUCGGAGAUAUCCGCCCAGCUGGCGAAGAAAUACGAGGGCAAGUCCCGGGAGGAACUAAUGCUAAUUGCCAAUGGAAUGGAGAACGAGGCUUUGCUGCAGCGACAGCGCGUUAAGGAGCUGGAGGACUACCUGGACAACCUGCUGCUGCGCGUGAUGGAGACGCACCCGAAGAUCCUGCAGAACCCCUAUUCGCGCACCACGUCCGCCAAGAGGUACGGCACCUGGUCGUUCUGGUCGCUUCCCCGGACCACGCUCACCCACUAACAAACUGCAUGCCCCUGACCGCCGUUAUAAAAAUUACAUCAAUAUGAAUGACUUUCUAAAGUAAGUGCUACGCAUGUUGCAAGUUGCAUUUAAGUAGACACUUAACCAACAAUCCCCAACAACAACAACAACAACAACAACAUCACCACCAACACCACAACCCCCAACAACAACAACAACAACUGCGUGACACGAGUAACAAGAACUGAGGCGACUUGUCCGGCUGAAAAAAGAGAAGGAACCACUGUGGCGGGAUUGGGAUCGAACGGUUAAACAGCCAAACUGGUCAUCGUCACGAAUCGGUUCACUUGUCCAAGAACAGCUGGAGGAGAUUGCCGGGGAGAAGUUGUGUGUAAACGAAUCGAAACACCAAUCGAACACCAUGUUGCCUUUGUCGUGAACAGCGAAAUUCAAGUGCUUUCUAAACCGUAAUACUAAGAGGGAAACUAAAUGUACACGUAAAUCAGUUAAGCUUAAGAAGUCCAAAAUUUGUUGUUAAUCUGAUAUUUCUAUAGCAUUCGUUGUUCUUCGUUUGCCUCGUACUAAACCGAACUAAAUUAAUUGUACUAUACUACUACUAUUUGGCAAUCGCUAGAUCAUUGAUUUGCCUUUAUUGGAGUUUCUUGUCGAUUGAUUGAAAUUAUCUAAAAGUAUUUUGUUUAUUUUUUUUGUGUGUCAAAUUUUUUGUAAUAUUUUGUGCAAAAAGAGUUUGAGAUGUUUUUGUAAAGUGCCGCGAGGGAAGUGGCCUUAGUGGAUUAAGUCUUAAAUUAUUUAUGUUUAGCUGUUAAGCAAAAGGGGGGAAGGGUGACAACAUGUGUCGCCUGCAAAAACACCACACACAGUUGAAAUAUGUUGAUACUACAAUGAUUUUACUUAUUGAUAUACACGCAACCAGAAUAAAAACAUUUUUAACCUUA